UACGUAGGGUGCAAGCGUUAAUCGGAAUUACUGGGCGUAAAGCGUGCGCAGGCGGUGAUGUAAGACAGAUGUGAAAUCCCGGCUCAACCUGGGAACUGCAUUUGUGACUGCAUCGCUGGAGUACGGCAGAGGGGGAUGGAAUUCCGCGUGUAGCAGUGAAAUGCGUAGAUAUGCGGAGGAACACCGAUGGCGAAGGCAAUCCCCUGGGCCUGUACUGACGCUCAUGCACGAAAGCGUGGGGAGCAAACAGG
rnacentral:rRNA from 1 species